rnacentral:rRNA from 1 species
CUCUUAGAUGUUCUGGGCUGCACGCGCGCUACACUGAUGCACUCAACGAGUUUACGACCUUGCCCGAUAGGGUUGGGUAAUCUUUUUAAAAUGCAUCGUGAUGGGGAUAGAUUAUUGCAAUUAUUAAUCUUCAACGAGGAAUUCCUAGUAAGCGCGAGUCAUCAGCUCGUGCUGAUUACGUCCCUGCCCUUUGUACACACCGCCCGUCGCUCCUACCGAUUGAGUGCUCAGGUGAAUAAUUCGGACUGCAGCAAUGUUUGGAUCCCGAACGUUGCAGCGGAAAGUUUAGUGAACCUUAUCACUUAGAGGAAGGAGAAGUCGUAACA